rnacentral:rRNA from 1 species
UACGUAGGGUCCGAGCGUUGUCCGGAAUUAUUGGGCGUAAAGGGCUCGUAGGCGGUUUGUCGCGUCGGGAGUGAAAACCAGGUGCUUAACACCUGGCCUGCUUUCGAUACGGGCAGACUAGAGGCAUUCAGGGGAGAACGGAAUUCCUGGUGUAGCGGUGAAAUGCGCAGAUAUCAGGAGGAACACCGGUGGCGAAGGCGGGUCUCUGGGCCGUAACUGACGCUGAGGAGCGAAAGCAUGGGGAGCGAACAGG